UAAAAUAGUUUUUUUUAAACAUAAAUUAGUUUAGUAUUAGUAAAAAAUAACUUUUUAAAUAUAUCCGAAAGGGAUUAUAUAAGUACUAAUAGCCAAGGUUAAAUCUUCUACCUCGUGUAUCAUGGGUCACUAAAUAAAGAUUAAAUUAUCUAAACCCGAAAGUUGGUGAGCUUAUUUUAAGUUGUUAAGAACUCAAACUUUACUGUGUCAUAAGUAUUAUAAAACUUAAAAUAAGAGGUGAUAUGCCUGUCGCACUAACAGAUAGCUGGUUGUAAAUAAAAUAUAUAUAAGUAUAGAUUCAUAAUGAAUUUUACUAGUUUUGGGUUAAGCUAAAACUAGAAAGUAAUCGGAAAAGUUUUAAUUUUUUUUUUUUAGGCUUACAAAUAGCCUUACUAGAAUCUGUUAUAAGGCAAAAAGAAAGUAAAAUUUUAUUAUAUUUUUACCAUUAAAUUUAAAUUACAAAUUAGAUAAAUAGCAUCUAAAGAUAAAAUGGUGAUAUGAGUAAUAAUAAAAAUAAAAUAUCAAAUUUAAAACAUUAUUGUAAAAGGAACUCGGCAAAAAGAGCAACGACUGUUUAACAAAAACAUAGCUUCUUGUAAUUAUUUGAAGUAAAGUCUGCCCAGUGACUGAAAAGUUAAACGGCGCAUGGCCUAAGGUAGCAUAAUAAUUUGUCUUUUCAUUGGAGGAUAGUAUGAAUGGACGAACGAAGUUCAGCUGUCUCUUACAAUUAACAGGAAACUGAAUUAUAGGUGAAAAUUCCUAAAUAUUAAAGAAGGACGGAAAGACCCUGUAGAGUUUUAACUAAUAAAUUAGCAAAAUGCAAAUUAUAGUUUUUAUUGGGGCAAUAUUAGAAAAAAAAAAAUCUAAUUAUAAAUUAUUGUGAUAACAAGUUGAAACCCUCUAAGAGAAAAAAGAUAAACUACCUCAGGGAUAACAGCGUUAUCCUACCAGAGAGAUCUAAUCGAAGGUAGAGAUUGCGACCUCGAUGUUGGACUAAGAGUGCUACAAAAUGCAGGCGUUUUGUAAAGUAGGCCUGUUCGGCUUUUAAUCUCUUACAUGAUCUGAGUUCAGGUCGGCGUAAGCURGGCCGGUUCCUAUCCUCUUAUAAUAAUAAAUUUUUAUAUUACGAAAGGAAAUAAAAAUUAAGUCUUACUUUU
rnacentral:rRNA from 1 species